AUAAAUGAAUAUGUUGUACCGUAGACAGUAGGGGCGAUCAUUCGCUUAAUAUCCUGCCGAGGUGUUUAAAAGCAGAUUAGCCCGUGAUAGGUUAAUUGUUAUAUUAAGCUCCCAUGUCUGCAUGGGAGCUUUUCUUCUGUUAAU
rfam:Virgibacillus sp. SK37, complete genome.